rnacentral:rRNA from 1 species
CCCUUAGAUGUUCUGGGCCGCACGCGUGCUACACUGAUGCAUUCAACGAGUCUAAAACCUGGUCUGAUAGGGCUGGGUAAUCUUUUGAAAGUGCAUCGUGAUUGGGAUAGAUGAUUGCAAUUCUUCAUCUUCAACGAGGAAUGCCUAGUAAACGCAAGUCAUCAGCUUGCAUUGAUUACGUCCCUGCCCUUUGUACACACCGCCCGUCGCUCCUACCGAUUGGGUGUGCUGGUGAAAUGUUCGGAUCGGCCGUUUGUCGCGGUUUCCGCGGCUCGUGGCUGAGAAGUUCAUUAAACCCUCCCACCUAGAGGAAGGAGAAGUCGUAACA